UACGUAGGGUGCGAGCGUUAAUCGGAAUUACUGGGCGUAAAGGGCGCGUAGGCGGCGUGACAAGUCACUUGUGAAAUCUCCGGGCUUAACCCGGAACGGUCAAGUGAAACUGUCGUGCUAGAGUACAGAAGGGGCAACUGGAAUUCUCGGUGUAGCGGUGAAAUGCGUAGAUAUCGAGAGGAACACCUGCGGCGAAGGCGGGUUGCUGGGCUGAUACUGACGCUGAGGCGCGAAAGCCAGGGGAGCGAACGGG
rnacentral:rRNA from 1 species